ACAUGCAGUAGAACGCUGAAGAGAGGAGCUUGCUCUUCUUGGAUGAGUUGCGAACGGGUGAGUAACGCGUAGGUAACCUGCCUUGUAGCGGGGGAUAACUAUUGGAAACGAUAGCUAAUACCGCAUAACAAUGGAUGACACAUGUCAUUUAUUUGAAAGGGGCAAUUGCUCCACUACAAGAUGGACCUGCGUUGUAUUAGCUAGUAGGUGAGGUAAUGGCUCACCUAGGCGACGAUACAUAGCCGACCUGAGAGGGUGAUCGGCCACACUGGGACUGAGACACGGCCCAGACUCCUACGGGAGGCAGCAGUAGGGAAUCUUCGGCAAUGGGGGCAACCCUGACCGAGCAACGCCGCGUGAGUGAAGAAGGUUUUCGGAUCGUAAAGCUCUGUUGUAAGUCAAGAACGGGUGUGAGAGUGGAAAGUUCACACUGUGACGGUAGCUUACCAGAAAGGGACGGCUAACUACGUGCCAGCAGCCGCGGUAAUACGUAGGUCCCGAGCGUUGUCCGGAUUUAUUGGGCGUAAAGCGAGCGCAGGCGGUUUGAUAAGUCUGAAGUUAAAGGCUGUGGCUCAACCAUAGUUCGCUUUGGAAACUGUCAAACUUGAGUGCAGAAGGGGAGAGUGGAAUUCCAUGUGUAGCGGUGAAAUGCGUAGAUAUAUGGAGGAACACCGGUGGCGAAAGCGGCUCUCUGGUCUGUAACUGACGCUGAGGCUCGAAAGCGUGGGGAGCGAACAGGAUUAGAUACCCUGGUAGUCCACGCCGUAAACGAUGAGUGCUAGGUGUUGGAUCCUUUCCGGGAUUCAGUGCCGCAGCUAACGCAUUAAGCACUCCGCCUGGGGAGUACGACCGCAAGGUUGAAACUCAAAGGAAUUGACGGGGGCCCGCACAAGCGGUGGAGCAUGUGGUUUAAUUCGAAGCAACGCGAAGAACCUUACCAGGUCUUGACAUCCCGAUGCUAUUUCUAGAGAUAGAAAGUUACUUCGGUACAUCGGUGACAGGUGGUGCAUGGUUGUCGUCAGCUCGUGUCGUGAGAUGUUGGGUUAAGUCCCGCAACGAGCGCAACCCCUAUUGUUAGUUGCCAUCAUUCAGUUGGGCACUCUAGCGAGACUGCCGGUAAUAAACCGGAGGAAGGUGGGGAUGACGUCAAAUCAUCAUGCCCCUUAUGACCUGGGCUACACACGUGCUACAAUGGUUGGUACAACGAGUUGCGAGUCGGUGACGGCGAGCUAAUCUCUUAAAGCCAAUCUCAGUUCGGAUUGUAGGCUGCAACUCGCCUACAUGAAGUCGGAAUCGCUAGUAAUCGCGGAUCAGCACGCCGCGGUGAAUACGUUCCCGGGCCUUGUACACACCGCCCGUCACACCACGAGAGUUUGUAACACCCGAAG
rnacentral:rRNA from 1 species